rnacentral:rRNA from 1 species
UACGAGGGGGGCGAGCGUUAGGCGGAAUCACUGGGCUUAAAGCGUGUGUAGGCGGGUUCCUAAGUACCUUGUGAAAUCCCACGGCUCAACCGUGGAACUGCUUGGUAUACUGGGUAUCUUGAGCCACUUAGGGGCAACCGGAACAAACGGUGGAGCGGUGAAAUGCGUAGAUAUCGUUUGGAACGCCAAUGGUGAAAACAGGUUGCUGGGAGUGUGCUGACGCUGAGACACGAAAGCCAGGGGAGCAAACGGG